CCCUUAGAUGUUCUGGGCCGCACGCGCGCUACACUGACGAAUGCAACGAGCUUAUAACCUUGGCCGAAAGGUCUGGGUAAUCUCCAAAUUUCGUCGUGAUGGGGAUAGAUUAUUGCAAUUAUUAAUCUUCAACGAGGAAUGCCUAGUAAGCGCAAGUCAUCAGCUUGCGUUGAUUACGUCCCUGCCCUUUGUACACACCGCCCGUCGCUCCUACCGAUUGGGUGCUCCGGUGAAUUGUUUGGACUGCUGUCAGUCUUUUCGGCUGUCGGCGAGAAGCUCUGUGAACCUUAGCACCUAGAGGAAGGAGAAGUCGUANCA
rnacentral:rRNA from 1 species